rnacentral:rRNA from 1 species
UACGUAGGGUGCAAGCGUUGUCCGGAAUUAUUGGGCGUAAAGAGCUCGUAGGCGGUCUGUCGCGUCGGCUGUGAAAUCCCGUGGCUCAACCCCGGGCCUGCAGUCGAUACGGGCAGACUAGAGUGCGGUAGGGGAGACUGGAAUUCCUGGUGUAGCGGUGAAAUGCGCAGAUAUCAGGAGGAACACCGGUGGCGAAGGCGGGUCUCUGGGCCGUAACUGACGCUGAGGAGCGAAAGCGUGGGGAGCGAACAGG